rnacentral:rRNA from 1 species
UACAGAGGUCUCAAGCGUUGUUCGGAUUCAUUGGGCGUAAAGGGCGCGUAGGCUGCGGGGCAAGUCGGGUGUGAAAUCUCAGAGCUCAACUCUGAAACUGCACUCGAUACUGCUUUGCUUGAGGACUGGAGAGGAGAUUGGAAUUCACGGUGUAGCAGUGAAAUGCGUAGAUAUCGUGAGGAAGACCAGUGGCGAAGGCGGAUCUCUGGACAGUUCCUGACGCUGAGGCGCGAAGGCCAGGGGAGCAAACGGG